AGCGGAUUGAAGCUUGCUUCAAUUGCCGGCGACCGGCGCACGGGUGAGUAACGCGUAUCCAACCUUCCGUACACUCAGGGAUAGCCUUUCGAAAGAAAGAUUAAUACCUGAUGGUAUGAUGAGAUUGCAUGAUAGCAUCAUUAAAGAUUUAUCGGUGUACGAUGGGGAUGCGUUCCAUUAGGCAGUUGGCGGGGUAACGGCCCACCAAACCGACGAUGGAUAGGGGUUCUGAGAGGAAGGUCCCCACAUUGGUACUGAGACACGGACCAAACUCC
rnacentral:rRNA from 1 species